UACGGAGGGGGCUAGCGUUGUUCGGAAUUACUGGGCGUAAAGCGCACGUAGGCGGCUUUGUAAGUUAGAGGUGAAAGCCCAGGGCUUAACCCUGGAAAUUGCCUUUAAGACUGCAUCGCUAGAAUUGUGGAGAGGUAAGUGGAAUUCCGAGUGUAGAGGUGAAAUUCGUAGAUAUUCGGAAGAACACCAGUGGCGAAGGCGACUUACUGGACACAUAUUGACGCUGAGGUGCGAAAGCGUGGGGAGCAAACAGG
rnacentral:rRNA from 1 species